rnacentral:rRNA from 1 species
CGAACGCUGGCGGCGUGCCUAAUACAUGCAAGUCGAGCGGAGUUGAUGARGUGCUUGCACUUCUGAUACUUAGCGGCGGACGGGUGAGUAACACGUAGGUAACCUGCCCGUAAGACUGGGAUAACUACCGGAAACGGUAGCUAAUACCGGAUAAUUUGUUUUCUCGCAUGAGAGAAYAAUGAAAGGCGGAGCAAUCUGCCACUUACGGAUGGGCCUGCGGCGCAUUAGCUAGUUGGUGAGGUAACGGCUCACCAAGGCGACGAUGCGUAGCCGACCUGAGAGGGUGAACGGCCACACUGGGACUGAGACACGGCCCAGACUCCUACGGGAGGCAGCAGUAGGGAAUCUUCCGCAAUGGACGAAAGUCUGACGGAGCAACGCCGCGUGAGUGAUGAAGGUUUUCGGAUCGUAAAGCUCUGUUGCCAGGGAAGAACGCUUGGGAGAGUAACUGCUCUCAAGGUGACGGUACCUGAGAAGAAAGCCCCG